rnacentral:snoRNA from 19 species
GCCCCUGGCGUGGGGCGUCGAGGCGCCGCGUGGGCGGCUGUGAAAAUGCCCCCUCCAAGGGGCGGACA